AUGCCAUUUCCAGCUCAACUCCUCUGGCUCAUUCUGCUCUGGAUCCCGGAUUCCAGUGGUGAUAUUGUGAUGACCCAGACUCCAGCCCCCCUAACCGCGUCCCCAGGAGAGAGUCACCAUCCAGUGCAAAGCCAGUCAGAGUGUUAACACAAGCUACUUACACUGGUACCAACAGAAGCGAGGACAGACUCCUAAGCUCCUGAUCUACAGCACAUCCAGACUGGCCUCUGGGGUCCCAACCUGGUUCAGCGACAGUGGCUCUGGAACUGACUACACUCUUACUAUCAGCAGUUUGGAAGCCAAAAAUGUUGCUGACUUUUACUGUCAACAGUGGAGUAGCAACCCUCCCACACAAUGCUACAGCCUCAUACAAAAACCUCUCCCGGCCCUUAAAUUGUAA